GUGCUCGCUUUGGCGGCACAUAUACUAAAAUUGGAAUGAUGCAGAGAAUAUUAGCACGGCCCCUGCGCGAGGAUGACACAUAAAUUUGUGAAGUGUUGGAUAUUUUG